rnacentral:rRNA from 1 species
AGAGUUUGAUCCUGGCUCAGAAUGAACGCUGGCGGCGUGCUUAACACAUGCAAGUCGAGCGUGAAAGUUUCUUCGGAAAUGAGUAAAGCGGCGAACGGGUGAGUAAUACGUAAGAAUCUACCCUUUAGUAAGGAAUAUGCUCGAAAAUUGGGUUUAAUACCACAUAAGUCCUACGGGAGAAAGGCGGCUUUAUGCUGUCGCUGAAGGAGGAGCUUGCGGACUAUCAGCUAGUUGGUGGGGUAAUGGCCUACCAAGGCUAUGACGGUUAACCGGCCUGAGAGGGUGUACGGUCACAUUGGAACUGAGAAACGGUCCAGACUCCUACGGGAGGCAGCAGUGGGGAAUAUUGCGCAAUGGGCGAAAGCCUGACGCAGCGACGCCGCGUGGAGGGUGAAGGUCUUCGGAUUGUAAACUCCUGUCAGGUGGGAAGAAAGAUUCUUUUUUAAUAGAAGAGAAUUAUGACGGUACCAUCAGAGGAAGCACCGGCUAAUCUCGUGCCAGCAGCCGCGGUAAUACGAGAGGUGCGAGCGUUAUUCGGAAUUAUUGGGCGUAAAGGGUGCGUAGGCGGUAUAUUAAGUUUGUUGUUAAAGACUUUGGCUUAACUGAAGAAAAGCAACGAAUACUGGUAAACUAGAGGGUGAAAGAGAGAAGUGGAAUUCCCGGAGUAGCGGUAAAAUGCGUAGAUCUCGGGAGGAACACCAAUGGCGAAGGCUGCUUCUUGGUUCACUACUGACGCUGAGGCACGAAAGCGUGGGGAGCAAACAGGAUUAGAUACCCUGGUAGUCCACGCUGUAAACGAUGAUCACUAGAUGUCGGUUUGAUUUUUCGGAUCGGUGUCGUAGCUAACGCGUUAAGUGAUUCGCCUGGGGAUUACGGCCGCAAGGCUAAAACUCAAAGGAAUUGACGGGGGUCCGCACAAGCGGUGGAACAUGUGGUUUAAUUCGACACUACGCGAGGAACCUUACCUGGUCUUGACAUGCAUUCGACCGUCUCAGAGAUGGGAUUUUCUAAGCUUCGGUUUAGACGUUUGCACAGGUGCUGCAUGGCUGUCGUCAGCUCGUGUCGUGAGAUGUUGGGUUAAGUCCUUUAACGAGCGCAACCCUUGCUGUCAGUUGCAAUUGCCUUUUUAGGUAAAGCACUCUGGCGGGACUGCCUGGGAAACCAGGAGGAAGGUGGGGACGACGUCAAGUCAUCAUGGUCCUUAUGACCAGGGCUACACACGUGUUACAAUGGCUAAGUACAAAGGGAUGCUACAUCGCAAGAUGAUGCUAAUCUCCAAAAUUAGUCCAAGUUCAGAUUGAGGUCUGCAACUCGACCUCAUGAAGUUGAAAUCGCUAGUAAUCGCAUAUCAGAACGAUGCGGUGAAUACGUUCUCGGGCCUUGUACACACCGCCCGUCACAGCAUGAGAGCUGCUUGUACCCAAAACCAUCUAAGCUAACCUGAAAAGGGGGCCGAUGUCUAAGGUGUGAGUGGUGAUUGGGCUGAAGUCGAAACAAGGUA